UGUUCUUUUAAGGAUAGCGCAUGACCAUUUACCUUUUUGUGGACAGUACUCUUGUAAUUAAGGCUAUGCUAAGAUUUUCACUUUAGGUUUAUGAGAGAUCUCAAGAAUUUGAAUAGUUUAUUAAAUAUAGUUUAGGAGAGUCUCAAUGUGUGGACAUAGGUUUUCUAGAAUAAAGUCCACAUUCUAUGACUUGCAGGUCUUACAUGUGAAAAAAUAUCUGCUGAAUGGCAUUGCCAAUAUCCCUUUAUACUUUGAGACUCCUUUCAUAGUUGUUUCAUGACUGCAUGGUACAGAUAGAUUUCCAGGGGAGGGAAAUGAACGGUUCUACUUUUAUUAUUGGCUUUCUGUUGCAAUGAAUUUGUGUCCUGGUUGUUUGAAAUUGGAGAAAUUCAUAGACCGGAAGAAGGUGUUCCCUUGGGAAAAGCAUUAUUAGAAAAUGGAAUUAUCCUCCAUGCUUAUCCUAUGAAAAAAGAUUCCAAAGGCUGUAUUGACUGUUUGGGGGCUAGCAACAAUCUUGGUUCAGUUUUAUUGCUGCAUGCCCCAAAUUUUGAUGAGGAAUGGAAACUGAGAGAGUAGAAUUAACUGUCCAGGUCCCCACAAGAUUUUCCCAACAUCCCAGGGCCUCUGAAUGUGAGACUCCUAUUGCCAACUGCCAUUCUAUUUUUGGGAAGACACUCCAAGAUAUUUUGAAAGUCCUGAAAGACAAAUAAAAUUGGACAAACAUUCCAGAUUGGAGCAAGUUUUCUGUAAUGGUGCCAAGACAUGGUCUAUAAACAGAAGUCAUUGGUUGGUUAGAGUAAGCAUGCUAUACCGGGAGUUGGGGUGGAAGAUGGUCGGGCAGUUGGUAGGAAACCUUAAACAUCAGAAUGAAGAGCUUUUAUUUUGCAAAUGUUGCCAUUGGGUAGCAAUUGAAGAUGUCUGGAAUUCAGUAUUGACAUGAUAUUAAGGUUAGACACUUACUGAAUCUGUUUGAAAAUUUGCUUAACAAAUUGUUUUCUUAUAUUCCAUAAUGUGAAUAUUGCAAUUCUUUCCAUGUCAACCAAAGAAGUAAAUAAAAAGCCCACUUACUGAUAAACUCUGACCCCCAAGUCCUGCAUGUUUGGGCCUAGGCUGUUUCCCUAAGCUCAUUGCCUUUGUCUUUGUAUGUUCACUAGUAUAUAGGGAAUAUCAUGCUUAUUUAUGAGGAGACCAAAUAGGUAUUAACCUUAGAGCCUACGCAUUUAUUCUUCUUGAAUUCAUUUUCCCCAAAACAGCACCUCCCUCUGCCCUCCCAAACUCUAUUAGUGCCAUUUUACUUUAUAGUCUGUUGUUUGCUAUAAAAUUAUUUUCUGGAUUAUUCCCAUCUGAUACUGUUGGCUUCUUUGUUUUCUUUUGUCUUACUAAAGUUUGGUUACCAAAAGGAAUGGAA